CCUACGGGAGUCUGCAGUGAGGAAUAUUGGUCAAUGGGCGGGAGCCUGAACCAGCCAAGCCGCGUGAGGGAAGAAGGUACAGCGUAUCGUAAACCUCUUUUGUCAGGGCACAAAGGCGGGGACUAGUCCCCGGAUGAGGGUACCUGAAGAAAAAGCAUCGGCUAACUCCGUGCCAGCAGCCGCGGUACUCAUGAGGAUGCGAGCGUUAUCCGGAUGUAUUGGGUUUAAGGGGUGCGCAGGCGGCCUGUUAAGUCAGCGGUAAAAGCCCGGGGCUCAACCCAGGCGAGCCGGUGAACCUGGCGGGAGGGAGUUGGAGAGAAGUACGCGGAAUGCGCGGGGUAGCGGGGAAAUGCUUAGAUAGCGCGCAGAACCCCGAUUGCGAAGGCAGCGUACCGGCUCCACACUGACGCUGAGGCACGAAAGCGUGGGUAUCGAACAGGAUUAGAUACCACUGUAGUC
rnacentral:rRNA from 1 species